UACGUAGGGUGCAAGCGUUUAAUCGGAAUUACUGGGCGUAAAGCGUGCGCAGGCGGUUUUGUAAGUUUGUCGUGAAAGCCCCGGGCUCAACCUGGGAAUUGCGAUGAAGACUGCAAGGCUUGAAUCUGGCAGAGGGGGGUGGAAUUCCGCGUGUAGCAGUGAAAUGCGUAGAGAUGCGGAGGAACACCGAUGGCGGAAGGCCAGCCCCCUGGGGCUAACACUGACGCUCAGGCACGAAAGCGUGGGGAGCGAACAGG
rnacentral:rRNA from 1 species